AUUCUUAAGGAGCCGAAUUCCCAAGAUUUCAUGGGGAGCGGGGGAUCCGUUUUGGGUGAAUUGAUCUCGCAAGAGAGGGAUCAUAGGUGACCUUCCACCGAACCCUUAAGCUAACCUCGCAGGCAUUGGAAGGAGCUUUU
rnacentral:sRNA from 2 species